GACAGAGGGUGCAAACGUUGUUCGGAAUUACUGGGCGUAAAGCGCGUGUAGGCGGCAGGGCAGGUCGGAUGUGAAAUCCCGUGGCUCAACCACGGAAGUGCACCCGAAACUGCCCAGCUAGAGUCUCGGAGAGGAAGGUGGAAUGCUUGGUGUAGAGGUGAAAUUCGUAGAUAUCAAGCGGAACACCGGUGGCGAAGGCGGCCUUCUGGACGAUGACUGACGCUGAGACGCGAAAGCGUGGGGAGCAAACAGG
rnacentral:rRNA from 1 species